UGAGCAAUCUGCCCUUCUCUUCGGAAUAAGCGUUGGAAACGACGUCUAAUGCCGAAUACGACCUCCUUUCGCAUGAUCGGAGGUGGAAAGCUCCGGCGGAGAAGGAUGAGCUCGCGGCCUAUCAGCUAGUUGGUGUGGGUAAUGGCCCACCAAGGCGACGACGGGUAGCCGGCCUGAGAGGGUGACCGGCCACACGUGGGACUGAGACACGGCCCAGACUCCUACGGGAA
rnacentral:rRNA from 1 species